rnacentral:rRNA from 7 species
UGGGGAAUAUUGGACAAUGGGGGGAACCCUGAUCCAGCCAUGCCGCGUGUGUGAAGAAGGCCUUAUGGUUGUAAAGCACUUUAAGCGAGGAGGAGGCUCUCUUGGUUAAUACCCAAGAAGAGUGGACGUUACUCGCAGAAUAAGCACCGGCUAACUCUGUGCCAGCAGCCGCGGUAAUACAGAGGGUGCGAGCGUUAAUCGGAUUUACUGGGCGUAAAGCGUGCGUAGGCGGCUUUUUAAGUCGGAUGUGAAAUCCCCGAGCUUAACUUGGGAAUUGCAUUCGAUACUGGGAAGCUAGAGUAUGGGAGAGGAUGGUAGAAUUCCAGGUGUAGCGGUGAAAUGCGUAGAGAUCUGGAGGAAUACCGAUGGCGAAGGCAGCCAUCUGGCCUAAUACUGACGCUGAGGUACGAAAGCAUGGGGAGCAAACAGG